rnacentral:rRNA from 1 species
GAUUUCUGACGAAACUGCUAGCUGGCCCGCCACGUCAGUGUGUGAGUGCCGGCUCGGCGUUUGUCAUCCGUUCGAAUGAUAUGCAUGCUGCCCUUCACUGGGUUGGCAUCGCAUGUUUUCGAUCUUUUACUUUGAAAAAAUUAGAGUGUUUCAAGCAGGCAUAUUUGCUAUGAAUACAUUAGCAUGGAAUAAUAAUCUAGGACUUCGGUUCUAUUUUGUUGGUUUCUAUAACUGAAGUAAUGAUUGAUAGGGACAGUUGGGGGUGCUAGUAUUGGCCGGCCAGAGGUGAAAUUCUUGGAUUCGGUCAAGACUAACUUAUGCGAAAGCAUU